rnacentral:tRNA from 1 species
GGGAAGGUGGCUCAGUGGUAGGGUGCUUGCCUUGCAUGCAUGAAGCCUUGGGUUCGAUUCCUCAGUACCA